AUUGAACGCUGGCGGCAUGCUUUACACAUGCAAGUCGAACGGCAGCGCAGAGAAGCUUGUGUCUUGGGUGGCCAGUGGCGAACGGGAGAGUAACAUACCUGAACGUACCGAGCAGUGGGGGAGAACUAAUCGAAAGAUUAACUAAAACCGCAUAUCUUCUGAAGAAGAAAGCACGGGGGCAUUUGGCCUUGCGCUGGUUGAGCGGCCGAUAUCUGAUUAGCUAGUUGGUGGGGUAAAGGCCUACCAAGGCGACGAUCAGUAGCGGGUCUGAGAGGAUGAUCCGCCACACUGGGACUGAGACACGGCCCAGACUCCUACGGGAGGCAGCAGUGGGGAAUUUUGGACAAUGGGCGCAAGCCUGAUCCAGCCAUGCCGCGUGUCUGAAGAAGGCCUUCGGGUUGUAAAGGACUUUUGGCAGGGAAGAAAAGGGCGGGGUUAAUACCCCUGUCUGAUGACGGUACCUGAAGAAUAAGCACCGGCUAACUACGUG
rnacentral:rRNA from 1 species